rnacentral:lncRNA from 1 species
CUGGAAUUCAGGUUUCUGACUCUAAAUUCAGUAUUCUAGAAUCUUCUGCAAGGUACAUGGUUAGCAGUAGAUGCAAGACCUUGGAUGUCAGGAAUAGUUCAAAGUGAUUGUGCAUCUAUUACCUCAUAAAUACUCCAGGAAUCUAAUGAAUUAGGUACUAUUGUGGCACCUCCCUUUUACGGGAGAGAAAAUGAGACACGUACAGUUGGAGUAACUCAUCAUCUAGAUAAAGUUUGAAUAACUCACUCAAAGUCCCAUACUAGUGAGGAAUGAAGCUGGAAUUUGAAGUCAGGUAAUAUGGUUCCAGAGGCUUUGCCCCUGCUGCCUGUCAAGUCUCAGCCCCAAGUCUACCAUUUCUAAAUACACUAUGUGCCACCUUUAAAACAGAGAAUGGGCAUUUUGAUGAGUGAAAAAGAGAAGAUGCUAUUUUGCUGCACUUAUUCACAUACACCAUGCAUCGCCAGGUUUCAGCAUUGGAAAACUGUAGGCUCUUCCUCAAACCCACUACAGCAUAAUCCCCUGAUAGGCGUGGAACAGAGCUAAAAAUUUGUCAAUCUGAAAGGUAUGUUUUUAAAAAAUCAUGUACAUUCAAUGAAAUUAAAAUUUCCUAUAUAGAAAGAGAUUUGGUCUUUAUUUUCUUUUUCAAAAUAUAAAUAAAAUUCCGUUGGGUCCGAGUUCCUGCCUCA